UAUCAGUAACAUUAAAAGGUCCUCGUGUUGAUGGAUACAUCAUAUUAAUAGAUAAAGUAUUACAAAGGUCAUGCUAAUUUAGCGAACAUAAUGUGUCACUAUUUGAUUUUAGUCUGCUGGAGAUACACAUACACAACUAGGGACCCGCGGUGCGUGCUUCGCUAUGUUUGAACCUAGUUCACCAUUUAGUAACGUAAAAAUGUGAUAAAUGAAUAACCACUCGACCGAUUAAGUGCAAACUUCACAUACACCAUCUACUAAAUAGUCCGAACAAAGCCUAGAACAUUUGGUUUGGAUAGGCGAGACCUUCUUGUGUUAUAAAUCCACAGCAAAAGUGGCAAGCCCAGACUGAUUGUUAGCCACGGCAGCUGUACUCUCUAAAGAGAUCAUUCAGCUGCAAAGAACAUAUUCUAGCGUACAAAAAAUUGCUUGGACACAGGUGUUCUUGACUCUCAAAGCCAGAUGAGAUGGCAAUCCGACACAACCAGAGAGAGAUCAGGCGCAGGAUCGACAUUAACGUACUCUCCGAUACAAGGACUCUGUGGCCAGGCCCGAGCGCUCACAACACCUGUGAUCACAAUUUAUAGUAAAAGAUUAUUGUAUAUGCCGUACCUAUAUUGUUAGUUCGUUUGUAUAAAUUGAAUUUGUAUCCCACUAAAAAUUUCCCGGCGCGAAUCGUACCAGUAAUAAAAUUUUAUUGAUAAUGCUUUUCUGAACUGUAUGAAACUGAAAAUAAACAAACGAACACAAAUUCACGCGAAAUAUUUAAUAGAGUAUGUUCGCAACGUUUUAAUCAGAAAAUAUGUUAAAUUGUAAUUAAUUAUUAGUUACGGUUAUUAUAACAAAGUGAACUAUAUAAAUUAUGGUUAAAGUUUUAAAUACUAUUGCAAACCAGCUUUGAGCAAAUAACAAUAUUAUUCGCCAUAAUAUAUUAUAGUAGAAUGAUCAAUGAAAGUAAAAACGUCAUGAGAAUUUAUAUUUUCUGUGCUAAAAAUUAUAUUUUUUUUCAAUGAACAGCAAUUCGAACCUAUUGAAACCUAUAAUGUUGCUGGCAGUUAACUCACCUAACGACUUAUAAAAAGAAUUUUCUUUAAUGCGCUUAACUGUUUUUGAUAGGUAUACAAUUCUCUGCUUCUAAAACACUGAAUCAGCUUAACUUGUACUCCAAAAGGUGAAGGUACAAAAAAUGUAUCUUAAAACUGAUAAUAUAAAGGUCAAUGUUGGAAUUGAACAAAUAAAUUCAGCAUAUCAACAGAAAUACCAAAAA